rnacentral:tRNA from 1 species
GCCGGUGUAGCUCAGUUGGCAGAGCAGCUGAUUUGUAAUCAGCAGGUUCGUCGGUUCGAUCCCGACCGCCGGCU